rnacentral:lncRNA from 1 species
GAGCAGCUUAUGUCUUCAGACUGCUAAGCUGGCCAGUGCCAGGCUGGGUCCCUUUAAUUUCUCAAACACAAAUCGCCCUGCUGGAAUCUCAAGUUGGAUCUGCAGUAGAUCACCAUUAACUCAGCAGCUUGCUUUGUUGUGAGUCCUUAUGCCAGGAACUGUGCGGGAUACAAAAUGUAAGAGAACGCUGGAAUAGAGCAUCUCCUGGGGAAAUGAGAGCCAGAGAUACAGCGGUGCCCCAUGGAGACAGCCAGCUGGUGUUUGGUAGUUCCUUGUGGAAAGGCUGUACUUUGAACCACCUAAG